rnacentral:misc_RNA from 1 species
GAGCCUGAGCGCGGAGUGGCUGGCGGAGGAGCGGACCAAGGUGGUCGGCACCUUCCCUCCCAAGAAGAAGGGAUGGACCGGCUACGUCGAGAAGGACACCGCCGGCCAAACCAACAUCUACUCCGUCGAGCCGACGGUGUACGUGGCGGAGAGCGCCAUCAGCUCGGGGGCGGCGGGCGCGGCGGCGGACGGGUCGGAGAACACGGCGGCGAUCGCCGGCGGCCUCGCCCUCGUCUUCGUCGCCGGCGUGUCGUCCAUCCUCAUCCAGGUCGGCAAGAACCAGCCGCCGCCGCAGGCCACCGUCUACUCCGGCCCGCCGCUCAGCUACUACGUCGCCAAGUUCCAGCCGUCCCUCGCCGCGGUCGCGCUCCAGCAGCAGCCCGCCGUC